rnacentral:rRNA from 1 species
GGCUUACCAUGCAGUCGAGGGGCAGCAUGGUCUUAGCUUGCUAAGGCCGAUGGCGACCGGCGCACGGGUGAGUAACACGUAUCCAACCUGCCGUCUACUCUUGGACAGCCUUCUGAAAGGAAGAUUAAUACAAGAUGGCAUCAUGAGUCCGCAUGUUCACAUGAUUAAAGGUAUUCCGGUAGACGAUGGGGAUGCGUUCCAUUAGAUAGUAGGCGGGGUAACGGCCCACCUAGUCUUCGAUGGAUAGGGGUUCUGAGAGGAAGGUCCCCCACAUUGGAACUGAGACACGGUCCAAACUCNUACGGGAGGCAGCAGUGAGGAAUAUUGGUCAAUGGGCGAGAGCCUGAACCAGCCAAGUAGCGUGAAGGAUGACUGCCCUAUGGGUUGUAAACUUCUUUUAUAAAGGAAUAAAGUCGGGUAUGNAUACCCGUUUGCAUGUNCUUUAUGAAUAAGGAUCGGCUAACUCCGUGCCAGCAGCCGCGGUAAUACGGAGGAUCCGAGCGUUAUCCGGAUUUAUUGGGUUUAAAGGGAGCGUAGAUGGAUGUUUAAGUCAGUUGUGAAAGUUUGCGGCUCAACCGUAAAAUUGCAGUUGAUACUGGAUAUCUUGAGUGCAGUUGAGGCAGGCGGAAUUCGUGGUGUAGCGGUGAAAUGCUUAGAUAUCACGAAGAACUCCGAUUGCGAAGGCAGCCUGCUAAGCUGCAACUGACAUUGAGGCUCGAAAGUGUGGGUAUCAAACAGGAUUAGAUACCCUGGUAGUCCACACGGUAAACGAUGAAUACUCGCUGUUUUGCGAUAUACGGCAAGCGGCCAAGCGAAAGCGUUAAGUAUUCCACCUGGGGAGUACGCCGGCAACGGUGAAACUCAAAGGAAUUGACGGGGGCCCGCACAAGCGGAGGAACAUGUGGUUUAAUUCGAUGAUACGCGAGGAACCUUACCCGGGCUUAAAUUGCAGAUGAAUUACGGUGAAAGCCGUAAGCCGCAAGGCAUCUGUGAAGGUGCUGCAUGGUUGUCGUCAGCUCGUGCCGUGAGGUGUCGGCUUAAGUGCCAUAACGAGCGCAACCCUUGUUGUCAGUUACUAACAGGUUCCGCUGAGGACUCUGACAAGACUGCCAUCGUAAGAUGUGAGGAAGGUGGGGAUGACGUCAAAUCAGCACGGCCCUUACGUCCGGGGCUACACACGUGUUACAAUGGGGGGUACAGAGGGCCGCUACCACGCGAGUGGAUGCCAAUCCCAAAAACCUCUCUCAGUUCGGACUGGAGUCUGCAACCCGACUCCACGAAGCUGGAUUCGCUAGUAAUCGCGCAUCAGCCACGGCGCGGUGAAUACGUUCCCGGGCCUUGUACACACCGCCCGUCAAGCCAUGGGAGCCGGGGGUACCUGAAGUGCGUAACCGCGAGGAGCGCCCUAGGUAAACUGU